ACAGCCAAAAUAAAGCUCAGAAACGGUGGCAUUUGUUACGCACAAAAGAAUCAGAACGAGAAUAAUAAGAAAGAGGCCACAGAAACACGUACCAAAAUCACGGGUCACGACUAAGGAAUGCAGACAGCCUGGAACUGGGACCCCGCUACAGAUGAAAAAAGAUAGGAGCUUUGCCCCUCAAGUUGCAACAGAGUUCCCUGCCCACAACGAGCUUAGAGUCUGCAGGAAAACUCUCCGGCCGGGCUCCAGGAUGGGUCAGUUUAACCGGGACGGAAGGUGGGUCCACCCCAUUUCCACCCACCUGGUGACAACGGCCCAGAUGCCCAGGUGAAGGUGAGUUUGUCUCCCCUAUCCCUGUCCCCCUCCCCCGCUGUUUUUUUAGGGAAUUUUUUAGGCAUUUACCAUGUCCCAAGCACUGUAUUAAGCACUGAGGUAGAUACAAACUCUAGCUCUAUUUACCAGCUUCCC